GAAUACACAUGUGUGUUGAGAAAGGGCCAAGAUCUGAUCUACAGAGAAAGAGAAAGUGAGCGCACAAUCCCCCACGACCACAAAUGAUACAGUUUAUUUCCACAUCUGGGGAAAUGAUAGGGGUCAGCACAUCUGGAGUUCAGUGGAUAAGCCUGGCCUUGGGAAACCACCUUCACGAUCAUGGUAUCUCCCCUAUAGAAAUCAUCAGUAUGUGCACAAGAAAGGAAAAAAGAAGAGUCAAAGAGGAUGCCAUAUGUUCAAGCCAUGAGAAGAAAUAAGGAACUCAGGAAGAGAAGAUUUGUAGUUUUAUGACAGAGUCUCACACCCAGUCCUUCCACAGUUUAGAUAUCAGAAGGUGGGGACUCCUAUGAUUGACAUUUCCAUUGAAUUGCCCCUCAAUGCCCAGCAAAGUAGCCCUGUAUAUAGACAAUGACAAAUGUAUUGAAAUCUACAUGUAGUAAGGAUAAAUUCAGGAUCUGGUCUGGAGUGGGUUAAAUAGUGACACCCCUUCCCUCCCUGGAAAGAUAUGUGCAUCUGAAACUUGCAAAUGUGACCUUAUUAGAAAAAAAGAGUCUUUGCAGUAGUGAUCUUUCUAGAUUAGGUUGGGCCCUAAAUCCAAUGACACAUCCUAUAUAAUAAGGAUAUGCUAAGUGUCAGACGUUUGUUCGACUGUUCAACCAGUCGCUAUGAUGCAUAC